GUUGUAUGGUUAAGUGACUAAGCGUACAUGGUGGAUGCCUUGGCAGUCAGAGGCGAUGAAGGACGUACUAACCUGCGAUAAGCCGUGAGCAGUCGGUAAGAGACAUUACGACUCACGGAUUUCCGAAUGGGGAAACCCACUUAGCAUAAGCUAGGUAUCGCUACGUGAAUACAUAGCGUAGCGAGGCGAACCGGGAGAACUGAAACAUCUAAGUACCCCGAGGAAAAGAAAUCAACCGAGAUUCCCUCAGUAGCGGCGAGCGAACGGGGAUUAGCCCUUAAGCAUCUUGGAAGUUAGUGGAACGGUCCUGGAAAGGCCGGCGAUACAGGGUGAUAGCCCCGUACACGAAAACAACCUUGAUGUGAAAUCGAGUAGGGCGGGACACGUGACAUCCUGUCUGAAUAUGGGGGACCAUCCUCCAAGGCUAAAUACUCCUGACUGACCGAUAGUGAACCAGUACCGUGAGGGAAAGGCGAAAAGAACCCCUGUGAGGGGAGUGAAAUAGAACCUGAAACCGUGUACGUACAAGCAGUGGGAGCCCUUCGGGGUGACUGCGUACCUUUUGUAUAAUGGGUCAGCGACUUACAUUUUGUAGCGAGGUUAACCGUAUAGGGGAGCCGUAGGGAAACCGAGUCUUAACUGGGCGUCUAGUUGCAAGGUGUAGACCCGAAACCGGGUGAUCUAGCCAUGGGCAGGUUGAAGGUUGAGUAACAUCAACUGGAGGACCGAACCCACUAACGUUGCAAAGUUAGGGGAUGACCUGUGGCUGGGGGUGAAAGGCCAAUCAAACUCGGAGAUAGCUGGUUCUCCCCGAAAGCUAUUUAGGUAGCGCCUCGGACGAAUACUACUGGGGGUAGAGCACUGUUUGGGCUAGGGGGUCAUCCCGACUUACCAACCCCAUGCAAACUCCGAAUACCAGUAAGUAAUAUCCGGGAGACACACGGCGGGUGCUAACGUCCGUCGUGAAGAGGGAAACAACCCAGACCGCCGGCUAAGGUCCCAAAGUUCUGGUUAAGUGGGAAACGAUGUGGGAAGGCUCAGACAGCUAGGAUGUUGGCUUAGAAGCAGCCAUCAUUUAAAGAAAGCGUAAUAGCUCACUAGUCGAGUCGGCCUGCGCGGAAGAUGUAACGGGGCUCAAACCAGGCACCGAAGCCGCGGAUUCACACUAAGUGUGAGUGGUAGGGGAGCGUUCUGUAAGUCUGCGAAGGUGUGUCGAGAGGCAUGCUGGAGAUAUCAGAAGUGCGAAUGCUGACGUAAGUAACGAUAAAGGGGGUGAAAAGCCUCCUCGCCGGAAGACCAAGGGUUCCUGUCCAACGUUAAUCGGGGCAGGGUGAGUCGACCCCUAAGGCGAGGCCGAAAGGCGUAGUCGAUGGGAAGCAGGUUAAUAUUCCUGCACGACUUGUAAUUGCGAUGGGGGACGGAGAAGGCUAGGUGGGCCAGGCGACGGUUGUCCUGGUGAAAGUGCGUAGGUGGUGUUUCUAGGCAAAUCCGGAGACACAACACUGAGACACGAGACGAACACACUACGGUGUGGAAGCCAUUGAUGCCCUGCUUCCAGGAAAAGCCUCUAAGCUUCAGAUUACAAGUCAUCGUACCCCAAACCGACACAGGUGGUCGGGUAGAGAAUACCAAGGCGCUUGAGAGAACUCGGGUGAAGGAACUAGGCAAAAUAGAACCGUAACUUCGGGAGAAGGUUCGCUCUUGACAGUGAAGUCCCUUGCGGAUGGAGCAGUUGGGAGUCGCAGUGACCAGAUGGCUGGGACUGUUUAUCAAAAACACAGCACUCUGCAAACACGAAAGUGGACGUAUAGGGUGUGACACCUGCCCGGUGCCGGAAGGUUAAUUGAUGGGGUUAGCGCAAGCGAAGCUCUUGAUCGAAGCCCCGGUAAACGGCGGCCGUAACUAUAACGGUCCUAAGGUAGCGAAAUUCCUUGUCGGGUAAGUUCCGACCUGCACGAAUGGUGUAACCAUGGCCAUGCUGUCUCCACCCGAGACUCAGUGAAAUCGAAUUCGCCGUGAAGAUGCGGUGUACCCGCGGCUAGACGGAAAGACCCCGUGAACCUUUACUACAGCUUGGCACUGAACAUUGAACCUACAUGUGUAGGAUAGGUGGGAGGCUUUGAAGGCGUGACGCCAGUUGCGCUGGAGCCGUCCUUGAAAUACCACCCUUGUAUGUUUGAUGUUCUAACGCAGGCCCGUGAAUCCGGGUCGCGGACAGUGCCUGGUGGGUAGUUUGACUGGGGCGGUCUCCUCCCAAAGAGUAACGGAGGAGCACGAAGGUUGGCUAAUCCUGGUCGGACAUCAGGAGGUUAGUGCAAUGGCAUAAGCCAGCUUAACUGCGAGACGGACAGGUCGAGCAGGUACGAAAGUAGGUCAUAGUGAUCCGGUGGUUCUGAAUGGAAGGGCCAUCGCUCAACGGAUAAAAGGUACUCCGGGGAUAACAGGCUGAUACCGCCCAAGAGUUCAUAUCGACGGCGGUGUUUGGCACCUCGAUGUCGGCUCAUCACAUCCUGGGGCUGAAGUCGGUCCCAAGGGUAUGGCUGUUCGCCAUUUAAAGUGGUACGCGAGCUGGGUUCAGAACGUCGUGAGACAGUUCGGUCCCUAUCUGCCGUGGGCGUUGGAUGAUUGAAGGGAGUUGCUCCUAGUACGAGAGGACCGGAGUGAACGAACCUCUGGUGUUCGGGUUGUCACGCCAGUGGCACUGCCCGGUAGCUAAGUUCGGAAUCGAUAACCGCUGAAAGCAUCUAAGCGGGAAGCGAGCCCUGAGAUGAGUCAUCCCUGACCCCUUGAGGGUCCUAAAGGGCCGUUGGAGACCACAACGUUGAUAGGUGGGGUGUGUAAGCGCGGCGACGUGUUGAGCUAACCCAUACUAAUUACCCGUGAGGCUUAACCAUACAACACCCAAGAAGUGUUCU
rnacentral:rRNA from 1 species